UACGUAGGGUGCAAGCGUUGUCCGGAAUUAUUGGGCGUAAAGAGCUCGUAGGCGGCUUGUCGCGUCGACGUGUGAAAACCCGCGGCUCAACUGUGGGCUUGCAGUCGAUACGGGCAGGCUGGAGUUCGGUAGGGGAGAACGGAAUUCCAGGUGGUAGCGGUGAAAUGCGUAGACGAUACUGGAGGAACACCGAUGGCGAAAGG
rnacentral:rRNA from 1 species